GAUGAACGCUAGCGGCAGGCUUAACACAUGCAAGUCGAGGGGCAGCGAGGGUAGCAAUACCUGUCGGCGACCGGCGGAGGGGUGCGUAACGCGUGAGCAACAUGCCCGUGUCAGGGGGAUAAUCCAGGGAAACUUGGUCGAAUACCCCAUAGUAAUAAGAACAGGCAUCUGUUUUUAUUUAAAUUUCCUGAGGACACGGAUUGGGUCGCGUGACAUUAGCUGGAUGGUAGGGUAACGGCCUACCAGGGGAACGAUGUAUAGGGGGUCUGAGAGGAAGAUCCCCCACACUGGAACUGAGACACGGUCCAGACUCCUACGGGAGGCAGCAGUGAGGAAUAUUGGACAAUGGAUGGAAAUCUGAUCCAGCCAUGCCGCGUGCAGGAAGACGGCCCUAUGGGUUGUAAACUGCUUUUGUAUGGGAGCAAUAAGGGCCAUGCGUGGUCCGAUGAGAGUACCAUACGAAUAAGGAUCGGCUAACUCCGUGCCAGCCGCCGCAGUAAUAC
rnacentral:rRNA from 1 species